AUAGCGGCGUCGUACGGUGGAGGUAACCGAGAGAUCUCGAGAAAAUUCCGGAGAUCGGAGCUCGCAUUUUCGCCGGUGAAUGGAGGUUUUUGUUAGGGUUUUCGCCGUCCGUUCAAUUUCAUUUCAUUUUGCCGGUACUUUUUGCUCGUCAAAUAAAAUGGGCUGUCUAAGGCCCACAUAAUAAGGCCCAUAAC